UACAAUACUAUUUUCUAAAAAGUAAAAGAUUAUAAGUCUUAAUAUAAUUAUUUCGGGUUUUUUUUUUUUUUUUUUUUUUUUAGUUUUGAAUUUUGGAUUAGACAAACCUCAAUCGCAUAGUAAAUGGUUAGUUUUAAUGGCAGCUUCACAAACUUCAUCCAACCAUACAGAUAACAUUAGUGAGUCUCUUCCAAAAGAUUAUAUUGCAAGCCACAGAUGUUUUCUUUGAGGAAAACGACAAGAAAGAACGUUGUGGACAAAGAAACAGUGAAGGCAAAGAUAGUUUAUCUUCCCUCCCAUGUACUCAAAGACUGUUUUGUGGGUGGAUAAGUCCUCUUACUUCCACAUGCACACACAUAAGACAGAAAAGAUAAAUAAAUAAAACAAAUAAACAUGGAAACAACUUAGAAUCCUGCAGAUCGGAAGGAGUAACGAUGAGAGCUCUCCAGCAGUUAGGAACAAUCCAACGGAACUCUCAAACAUGGAGACAAGUGAAUGAUCUCCCCAUAUAGCAUUCAACCCUUACCAAACACGUAACGUCUUCAGACACGGAGAUUGGGAUCCAAGCGCGGCCGCAAAGAACACCAUUGGAUUACCAGAAAAUCAUAUCUUACCUGCAACAGCCACCACACGCACCCUCUGACAACCAAAACAUACGUUACAGAAGUGGAUGCAGUAGAACCAAACCAACUCUCUUAGAUUCCACAGACACUGGACAAGACUGCGGUAGACAGUUUAGUGGCUGCUGACGAAAUAUAAUUUGGAGACCAUGACGCCCUCGUCCAGACAUGUAUGUGUGGUACAUCCAUAUACCAGAGGAGCAGAAUCAAACAACAAGUCAAAUUAAGUAGCUGUUCUGUUUACAAAUCGAACAUCUGAAUUAGCCCCAACAAGCCAAUUAGCUCAAAACUCAGAAACAUGCGGCAAGAUCUCAGCUACGAAUUUGAAGCCCGGCACUAGAACUAAUGAGGAGGUUAUGAUGGUUGAGGCCACGCAAGACAACGUCGAAGAGCCAUGUAUGAGGGACCAAGAAACACAUGACGAGCCACAGCAUGUCACGGCUCCUGAGAAAUGGAACUCUUCUGCGAUACAGUAGACUCCACGUAAACUCUCAGGUGAGAAAUGUAGCCUAGUCAGGGCCAUGGUAGCAAGAUGCAGUCAAGACGAGGCGUGGUCCGAGGAGGACUCCGAAGAAACUAAACAUGUCUACAUCGCGAGGAGCCACAGAUACGAGCAUGGUGCUUAAAAACCACAGGGAAAUAGAAUCGAAACGACUAAAGCAAAUCAGAAAC
rnacentral:lncRNA from 1 species